AACUUUGGGCGGUGGAUCACUCGGCUCGUGCGUCGAUGAAGAGCGCAGCCAGCUGCGUGAAUUAAUGUGAAUUGCGAGAACACAUUGAACAUCGAUAUCUUGAACGCACAUGGCGGGCCUCGGGUCCAUCCCGGGGCCACGUCCCGUCUGAGGGUCG